GACGUAGGGCGCGAGCGUUUGUCCGGAUUUAUUGGGCGUAAAGAGCUCGUAGGCGGCUCGUUGCGUCGGCUGUGAAAACCCGCAGCUCAACUGUGGGCUUGCAGCCGAUACGGGCGGGCUGGGAUUCGGUAGGGGAGACUGGAAUUCCUGGUGUAGCGGUGAAAUGCGCAGAUAUCAGGAGGAACACCGGUGGCGAAGGCGGGUCUCUGGGCCGACCCUGACGCUGGAGGCGCGGAAGGCGUGGGGAGCGAACGGG
rnacentral:rRNA from 1 species